AUUGAACGCUGGCGGCAGGCCUAACACAUGCACGUCGAACGAGUGGCGGACGGGUGAGUAAUGUCUGGGAGACUGCCCGAUGGAGGGGGAUAACUACUGGCAACGGUCGCUAAUACCGCAUACCAUCGGAUGUGCCCAGAUGGGAUUAGCUGGUAGGUGGGGUAACGGCUCACCUAGGCGACGAUCCCUAGCUGGUCUGAGAGGAUGACCAGGCACACUUGAACUGAGAAACGGUCCAAGAUCCACCGGGAGGCAGCAGGUGGGAAUAUUGAAACAUUGGAUCCAGCCCGAUGCAGCCAAGCCGCGUUGAAGAAGAAGGCCGUCGGGUUUUUAAGUAAUUUCAUCGAGGAGGCGUGACUCGCAGAAGAAGCACCGGCUAACUCCGUGCCAGCAGCCGCGGUAAGAC
rnacentral:rRNA from 1 species